rnacentral:rRNA from 1 species
CAGCCGCCGCGGUAAUACGAAGGGUGCAAGCGUUAAUCGGAAUUACUGGGCGUAAAGCGUGCGUAGGUGGUGGUUUAAGUCCGUUGUGAAAGCCCUGGGCUCAACCUGGGAAUUGCAGUGGAUACUGGGUCACUAGAGUGUGGUAGAGGAUAGUGGAAUUUCCGGUGUAGCAGUGAAAUGCGUAGAGAUCGGAAGGAACAUCUGUGGCGAAGGCGACUAUCUGGGCCAACACUGACACUGAGGCACGAAAGCGUGGGGAGCAAACAGGAUUAGAUACCCGCGUAGUCCCUGUCUCUUAUAC